UAAUAAGUGAUUUAUGGCACUUUUUAAAUCCAUAUCCACCUUGUGUGCAAUGUCAGUCGAUCUUCUUCAUGGAGAUCGACCAAACAUCAACCUUUAUCUUUUAACUCUUUGUCUGAAAAAUAUUAUGAAUAAACAAUUCAAAAUA
rnacentral:misc_RNA from 1 species